GCCCUACGGGAGGCAGCAGUGAGGAAUAUUGGUCAAUGGUCGGGAGACUGAACCAGCCAAGCCGCGUGAGGGAUGAAGGUACAGAGUAUCGUAAACCUCUUUUGUCAGGGAACAAAGGCGGGGACGUGUCCCCGGAUGAGUGUACCUGAAGAAAAAGCAUCGGCUAACUCCGUGCCAGCAGCCGCGGUAAUACGGAGGAUGCGAGCGUUAUCCGGAUUUAUUGGGUUUAAAGGGUGCGUAGGCGGACGCUUAAGUCAGCGGUAAAAUUGCGGGGCUCAACCUCGUCGAGCCGUUGAAACUGGGUG
rnacentral:rRNA from 1 species